CCCUUAGAUGUCCUGGGCCGCACGCGCGCUACACUGAUGCAUGCAACGAGUUUAUAACCUUGGCCUGAAAGGUCUGGGUAAUCUUUUGAACGUGCAUCGUGAUAGGGAUAGAUUAUUGCAAUUGUUAAGCUUGAACGAGGAAUUCCUAGUAAACGCGAGUCAUCAGCUCGCAUUGAUUACGUCCCUGCCCUUUGUACACACCGCCCGUCGCACCUACCGAUUGAAUGGUUCGGUGAAGAUCUCGGACUUCGAUAUUUAUUCUUUAUUGAGUUUAUAUUGUGGGAAGUUAUCUAAACCUCAUCAUUUAGAGGAAGGUGAAGUCGUAACA
rnacentral:rRNA from 1 species